rnacentral:rRNA from 1 species
AUUGAACGCUAGCGGGAUGCCUUACACAUGCAAGUCGAACGGCAGCGCGGACUUCGGUCUGGCGGCGAGUGGCGAACGGGUGAGUAAUGUAUCGGAACGUGCCCAGUAGCGGGGGAUAACUACUCGAAAGAGUAGCUAAUACCGCAUACGCCCUACGGGGGAAAGGGGGGGAUCGCAAGACCUCUCACUAUUGGAGCGGCCGAUAUCGGAUUAGCUAGUUGGUGAGGUAAAGGCUCACCAAGGCGACGAUCCGUAGCUGGUUUGAGAGGACGACCAGCAACACUGGGACUGAGACACGGCCCAGACUCCUACGGGAGGCAGCAGUGGGGAAUUUUGGACAAUGGGGGAAACCCUGAUCCAGCCAUUCCGCGUGUGCGAUGAAGGCCUUCGGGUUGUAAAGCACUUUUGGCAGGAAAGAAAUCGCAUCAAUUAAUACUUGGUGUGGAUGACGGUACCUGCAGAAUAAACACCGGCUAACUACGUGCCAGCAGCCGCCGUAA